rnacentral:lncRNA from 1 species
UGUGUGUGUGUGUGUGUGUGUGUGUGUGUGUGUGUGUGUGUGUGUAUAUGUGCGUGUGUGUGUGAUUGUGCAACACCCGUUGGGGGACAGGGCUGGACAGUAGCAGCGGCACGUGCACGCAGCCAAUGACUCGUCGUAAGGAGACGUGGAGGCGUGGAACAGGCAAGGGCCCAAACCAUACGCCUGCUAUCUUUCGCGCGCUGCGUACCCAUACCCUAUUUCAAGCACGACCCCGUUCUUGCCCCACCCACAGCCCACCACCAGCUCCCUUCCUUCACUAUCUAAGCCUGCCCCCACCAACCACCUCACCCCCGGCCCUGGCCACCCGUACCUGAGGCACGUAGCCGGCGCCGAAGUACGGCGGCGCGGAGCCGAUGCCGUAGGUGGUGAGGCAGCCCAUCAGGUUGGACAGCUGGCCCAGAGCGAUGGCCGCCAGCAUGGGCGGCGUGCCGCAGGCGGUGGCCACCGCCAGAAAGGCGGUGUACAUGGCGCCGAUGUGCGCGGCACCCGAGGCGAAGAAGUAGUGCGAGUAGAAGUACAGCAGCACCACAAUGCCGAAGGCGCCCUGGGAGGUGGUGGGAAGGGAUAGCGCGGGGGACGGGAUUGCAGGUGGGUGGGUGAAUAAUAGGGCCGAGGGCAGGCGCACCGUGUGCGACUUCUUAACUGCAAGCCCUGCACGGUCCACUCCACAGGCCCUCGAGGCCCCGGCUUGAAGGCCCGUGUCCUGCUUGCCCCGCCACCGCCCUGCAGCCACCCUUCCGCAUUGCCUCACCUGCCAGCCCAGGCCCAGGCCGCCCACGAUGUUGACCACCGAGGUGGACAGCCACGGGAUGAAGCCGUACUUGUUGAGCGCGGCCGCCAUGGCGAUCAGCGCCGCGAACCAGGUGAGGGUGUCCCAGGCCGCGUUGUUGUUCAGGCACUCCUUCCAGUUGGUCACGUUGGUCACCUGAGAGUGCCGGAAACGGGUUGGCGAUGGCGAGGCGAAGGGUGGGCAUGCACGUACGAAAGCUGAGAGCUUGGCAGGCCGUGGCGAAACCGCCCACGUCCGCAUGCUGUAGAAUCUCGUGCCGGCCUGUUUCCGGUCGCUGCUCCUCACCGGCUGCCCCUUCACUUCGUGCCAUUAAAGCUCGUGAAACCCACAACCACAUUCGCAGCUCUCUUUCCGCCCGUCACUCACCAGCAGGAUGAACAGACCGACGAUGGCGGCGGCCACGGCGUUGACACCGAUGGAGCCGCCGAAGAUCCACAGGGCCACGGUGAUGGCGAAGGCACCUGCGGGGUAAGGGGAUUGGACAGUGUGGCACGUCAGCACGUGCGCUGGACAAAGCUCUGCCACUUCCUACUGCAAGCAAGUGCCGAGCUACAUACUGCCCGCGGAAGACCCCUGGCCCAGGCUACCUCGCAGGCCGCAUCGGCCCCACAGUCCUGCUCCAGGCAUACACCAGACACACAUGCAUGCGCACGCACCGGCGGUGAUGACCUCGUUGGUGCUCAUGGGGCCCAGCUUGGCCAGCUCCUUGGCGGCGGUGGCGGGAGCGUCAGGAGUGUCCUUCACCUGUGGGUGUAUACGACGUAGGUGAGGGACGCAUAAGGCCGGAGGACAGCCUCGCGUGUAAGGAUCGUGGCUGCGCGGGGAUGCUUGCCUGCUCGCCAACAGAAAGCGACUCCCCAUCAAACUGUCUGCGCCCCUACUGCACUCAGAUCAUAGCGCGCCUGCGCCUUCCGCCCUUCGCGAGCCACAUCCCAUUUGCAUGACCGGUUGUUCCAGUCCCAUUCCCCCAAUGUUCCGCUGCCCACAUCCCGCACGUACCUCGGGCGGGUACAGGGCGUACAGGAUGAGCGGCACGCAGAUGAGGCACACGAUGCCGGGCACCAGGCCCGCCAGGGCCCAGGUGCCCCAGCUGAUGUUGAUGCCGGCGGAGGCGGCCAGGUUCACGGCCAGUGGGUUGGCGGCCAUGGCGGUGAUGAACAUGGCGGACGACACCGUGGUAGUCUGGCGGCAUUGGAGAGUGGCGCGAUACGGUUCAGUGGCAAGUGGAAAUAGGCAAGCCGGUGCAUGCGGUGAUCUGGUGCGACUCCCCUCGUCGCCUCGACGCACCGGACCUCCUCAGCCCAUAAUGUCCACUUGGUCCACUGCCCGACGCCAUGCCUGCCCAGCGCCUUAAAUCCCUUCUCCAUCUGGUUUCUAAACGCUAAGGCAACCGGUGCAUAUGCUGCGGUGCCCUGCAGACUGAACCCCACGAUAAUCCGACCCAGACCAGCGGAUAUCCUCAGCCAGCCAGUGCGGACUGCUUCCCCCACUGCCUGACACCAUGCACGACCACCGCCCAAUUCCCGGCGCCACCCAGUGCCACAAGCAAACCGCUACCUAUUCCCUUUCCCUCCCGCUCCAUUACCCCAGGCCGGCGCCCACCUGGAAGCAGGUGGUCAUGACGUAUGCGCCCAUCUUCUUGGCGGUGCCCUUCUCCGGGUCGGAGCCGCAGGCCAGGCACAGCGCCUUGGCCAGCGGGAAGAAGAUGCCGCCGGCGCGUGCCGCCACCGAGGGGAUGGCGGGCGACAGCAGAGCCUCAGCAAACACCAGAGCGUAGGUCAGGCCCAGCGUGGUCUUGCCCAGCGCGCCCACAAUCAUGUAGGCGAUGCGGUUGCCCAGACCCGACUUGAUGAAGCCGCCGGCCAGGAAGUAGGCGAUGGCGAUCAGCCAGCUGUGGGCGAGGGCAGAGAAGGGAGGAACCGGGAGGGGUUGGGAGGAGGUGAAGGGCGUGUGCGCUGGACGAGCCGCACGCGCAGCUGCAAGCAUGACCCGAGGUGCGCGGAACCCCAGAGCCCUGGACUAUGAAGGAAACAACGCCCACAUACACGCGAGUUACAUGGCUAUAAAAGGGAGUCGCAGGCGAGAUGGCGGUCAACGGCCCCGAAAAAGCGAGCGUGUGCGUCGGCACUUACGGGAUCUCUGAAGCGAAAGCGCUGAACGCCUCGGCAAAGGUCAGCACCUUCGUGAUCAUGGCAGCGCCCAGGCCGAUGAUGGCGACCGCGCCCAGCGGCAGCGGCGUAGUGAUGAUGCCCACGAUAGUGCCUGCACGCAGUAGCCAUGCGCGAGCGAACGAUUAGCCCACGGGAAUGACACUAGUAAAACAUACACCGUUGCGGAUAGCGCAGCCUGAAAGCGCUCUGGGAUGCAAGGUAGACCUUUCGAUGCUCACCGAUGAAGACCGCCAGCAGGUGCCAGGCCUUGGCCGUCACGCCCGCGGGGGGCGGGAUGAACCACAGGGCAGUAGCAACGCCCACGCAGAUGGCCAGGUCCUUCAUGUUGGCACCCCACUUAAAGGCGGGCUUCGCGGGAGCCGGGGCAGGGGACGAUGCGGCCCGAGCGCCGACCAACAGUAGUGGUCUUCUGGUGCGACAUUCGUAUUGACAUGAGCAAUCGCCGCCCGAACCAGCACAGAACAUGCCCGAACCAGCACAGAACAUGCCGCAACAAGACGGGGGUUUUACGUCUUCGCCGCCUGCUAAUUAAAAUACACAGCUAGCGAGCUAAAGCACUGCACGCCGCCUUAUCCAUACACGUAGUGCGAGCCCAGCACGACAGCCACAGUACCACAAUGAGUGCUGCGCAGGGUCCCGCAAAACACCCAUACAAUGGGGCACGGCAUGCCCCAUCCAGCCCUCAGCUAUCAUCCUUGCCGCCCCCCACGAAAUCAAACCGCCAGAGCACACCCCUCCGUAUCCCCGUCCAUGAACCGCUAGCAGUGGUAGCACACCAUGUUGCGAAACCGCCCCUGUGCUGCGAGACCGUGCAAAGCCUGGCUGCUGCCGCCGGUUUGCAGCUCGUUCCUUCACAGCCACCACGCGUGCAGAUGCUGAGUGGGAGAGCAACGCCGGUGUGCAGGGGCCUGCCUUGCAAGCUGAAAAUGUGCACUCGACCUGAUUGAGCAUCCGCCAUGCCGCAGCCGCAGGCCAGCUGCCCGUUAGCCGCCACCAGAGGCUGUGAAUGGAAAGAGUGGUUUGUGCGCAUGCGUUCAGGGAUGGGGUUGGUCGAGGACGUCCCACAGUUGCUUUCGCAAGGGAGACUAGGGAGACCCAGACGCCCGAUUGACAUGGCGGGGUAGUGAGCAGGCAGCUGGCAGCUGGUGCUACUGGCGCAUAGCAGGUGCAGACGGAAACAUGCAGCGGGUUAAGAAUUCGGCAGCCACACGCUCCGGGAGCCCAGCACCCCGCUCCGCCCCCGCCCUCAACCGCGCUGCGCUGCGCAACCGCCCUUCCACACUAUCACUCACCGACACUAAAUGUUCUUGUUGAUGAAGGCGGACACCACCAUGCCAACAGCGCUGACGGGGUUUAGGGGGAGAAGCAGCAUGAUUCCCACGAUGAUGACCACCGCGAGCGCCAGCUGCACAGCCAGCAGCUGAACCUUGUCAAAGCGUGAGUCUAUUUUGCGUUCAAGUCGUGUAAUGUCGUCCUUGCUGGCGAGGUCCUUCGGUGUCGGGAAGACACUCAGCAUCACCUCCGCCUGGGGCUGCGUGAAGUGAUUGCCCUUGAGUACAGCCUCGCGGAGCUCAAAAGUGGCCGCACUUGACGUGGCCGAGCUCGUGGACGGCUGCGCCACGCAGGUCCUCACAGAGAUCCGCCGCUGCUGCAGCAGCGCAGAGCGGUGUCCCAUGGCGGGCUGCUGGCCCAGGGCGAGCUCGUUGUAAGACUUCGAAAAGCUGCACAGCGCCAUAGGAGCGCAGCGCGUGUUCCGUGUCUAGAUUCAGAAAGGAUAAACGUCACCGCACGUUGGGAAGGGUCGAAUGAUAACGAUUACUUUGCACGUUUACUGCUUGCCUUGCGUUUUCGGAGGGCGAGGGAUGGGGUCCCGCGGGAUGGGGCGUCCGCCCGCUCGCGAUGGUAUUGCUCCUUUUCACUUUUUGCACAGCUGCGGCAGUCGCCUCCUCCUCUCGCAAUUUUCUUUGUAUUUAUUUACCAGGCGCUGAUGCUUCUCCCCCUAAACCCCGUCAGCGCUGUUGGCAUGGUGGUGUCCGCCUUCAUCAACAAGAACAUUUAGUGUCGGUGAGUGAUAGUGUGGAAGGGCGGUUGCGCAGCGCAGCGCGGUUGAGGGCGGGGGCGGAGCGGGGUGCUGGGCUCCCGGAGCGUGUGGCUGCCGAAUUCCUAACCCGCUGCAUGUUUCCGUCUGCACCUGCUAUGCGCCAGUAGCACCAGCUGCCAGCUGCCUGCUCACUACCCCGCCAUGUCAAUCGGGCGUCUGGGUCUCCCUAGUCUCCCUUGCGAAAGCAAUUGUGGGACGUCCUCGACCAACCCCAUCCCUGAACGCAUGCGCACAAACCACUCUUUCCAUUCACAGCCUCCGGUGGCGGCUAACGGGCAGCUGGCCUGCGGCUGCGGCAUGGCGGAUGCUCAAUCAGGUCGAGUGCACAUUUUCAGCUUGCAAGGCAGGCCCCUGCACACCGGCGUUGCUCUCCCACUCAGCAUCUGCACGCGUGGUGGCUGUGAAGGAACGAGCUACAAACCGGCGGCAGCAGCCAGGCUUUGCACGGUCUCGCAGCACAGGGGCGGUUUCGCAACAUGGUGCGCUACCACUGCUAGCGGUUCAUGGACGGGGAUACGGAAGGGUGUGCUCUGGCGGUUUGAUUUCGUGGGGGGCGGCAAGGAUGAUAGCUGAGGGCUGGAUGGGGCAUGGCGUGCCCCAUUGUAUGGGUGUUUUGCGUUUUGCGUUUUGACCCUGAGCAGCACUCAUUGCGUUUUGCGUUUUGACCCUGAGCAGCACUACUCAUUGUGGUACUGUGGCUGUCGUGCUGGGCUCGCACUACGUGUAUGGAUAAGGCGGCGUGCAGUGCUUUAGCUCGCUGGCUGUGUAUUUUAAUUGGCAGGCGGCGAAGACGUAAAACCCCCGUCUUGUUGCGGCAUGUUCUGUGCUGGUUCGGGCAUGUUCUGUGCUGGUUCGGGCGGCGAUUGCUCAUGUCAAUACGAAUGUCGCACUGAUGUACAACAACAAUGCAAGACAGAGCUGUACACCAACGCCAAGCAGGACUGACCUAGUAGAUGCAGGGGUGCAACCAACCUGCGGUGGAUAUACCUGCUGGACAACAUAUGUACUGGAUGAAUGGCAAACUGGGCGGCAAGCGUGUGCAACGUGUGCUAUGCACCGCUACUGUGUCCGUGCCUAAUAGGGCGGUGGUAAUACAGGAUUGCGUGUGUACCGGUGAGUGUUGAGCAUAUGUAACCAUGUGGAGCGUCACAAUCACAUAAUUGCUUUUGGGACUCGGCGUGGGGCCAAGUUUGGUGCUGUGUGGGCGGGCCAUGCGUACUAAAGCCUGGUUAGUUUGGCGCAGAGAUAGAGCCCAGGACUCGUCUUUUGCCUCGUUAGCAGUCGGCCUAGGCGGCAUACGCUGGAACGGCAGAGCUGGGCUGAUUGCGGAGUUGGGGCUGACAGACCAGCUGGAAGACAGCGAACAGCCAAGCGCACUUUCACUGCAGGACAGCUCAAACCAGGGGUCGUAUCUUGUUUUCAGGGCAAUGUCUAGGCUCAGACAAAACCGGCCGGGUGGCCGCCGUCUUUUGUCUGGGCACAUGGCGGUUUGGGGGCUUCUCCAUAGGAAUUGGGACAAAACCCGCCCCAAAACCGGGCGAACAAUGUCUUGCCUCACACAUUAGUCCCCAGGAGGAAUGCCUAGGAAACGGCCAAAAUGGCCAAUUAUUGUCUGGACUCUGGAGACAUUAAGAUAGGAGCCGUGGCUCAAACCGCAAGCGAGCGCGCGGCGUGCACCACGCGCGCCACCGCACAGCCACGGCCACACACCAGCGCGCGAGCACAGCGCUAACAAAGCAGCGGACCACCGCCAGAACCAGGACGGCAGCACCGACAAAACGAACAACAGUGACAACGAGGCCACACAAACACCGCCCAGCAGGCGGACAACGGCCGCGCGAAGCCAACAACGCCGCGGCGGCACACCAACAAAACAGCGCGAACACCAACCGCAACACGUGGGGUACCCCCAUUCCGUAACCUGGUUCCUGCAACGACAAGAAAAGGUGGCUCUCCCUCGCAAGGGAAAAGUGGGCUGUGCCGCCACGCCACGUCCUCCGUCUGAGGCCGAAGGUUCCGAUACUAGCCUCAUCUCCCGGACAUAGCCGGGGUCGGUUUGUACAGGCACCGCCCGCCAUAUGUGCCCAGUCGCUUCGCUCAGGGGGCUCAGCCCAAAAACGUAUGGGAACGAAAAGCAGCUCCAGGAUAACGCCACAGAGAAAAAGCACGGAACCCUGGCAAAGCACAAAAAUCCCUGCGGCAGGCUGGAGCGCGCUAGCCCAAAACAUCCCCAAUUCAUGGAGUAACGCACGUCAAUAACGGCGGGGCAGCGGGCUGCACUGAUCCCCUCGGGGGCCCACCGACUGCCCUCUACACCGCCGCAACUAACCAAACGCUCACACCAACACCAACACGCGCCACACAGUAGGGUACCUGCGUGUGUCGAAGAUGCUCAGGAUUGUGGCCUGUUCAGGGAACCGCACUGGGCUGGGGGGAUCCCGCAGGCGCGCCCUGCUGUACCAAUAAAGGCGUGGUCCUUUGUCAUCCACGAGCAUGGAGCCACUUGUGGGCGUGUCACUGAUGCGACAUUGCUCCGACGGCGGUUGUUGUUUUGCGGGCGCUUGGAUUCGACCUGGCUGCAUCGCAAGCGUGACCCACUGCAUGGUGCACUGUGCCACUUCUCAGGCCUUGCCGGUGCUGGAUUGGGAACUUACCAGUGCUCACUUGUGUGCUGGUGCAGCCCAUGAUCUCCUUCGGCGUGCAGGCCGUUUGCGUAUCGGGCUCAGACAGAGCCGUGCUCAGCUAUAUAAACUGAGUAGCCCAGCGACUGACCCAGCUUGCCACAGGCACGCGGUGUCCAUGCCUGCCUCUCGCGGCUGUUAGAGAUGCUAAGUGCUGCGGGGUAAUGGGGCUAGUGGUGACUGGUGGUGAAUGCCAGUAAGUGCUGGUGGUCUGUGCCCUUCUGCGGACGGCUGGGCUUGGGCUGCGUUAGUUGUGCUCCAUGUUAGGUGUACGACCGUUGGGCUGUGGUGCGGCGCUGCCGGCGGCCUGCCAAACAUGCAAGUGAUGCAACGUCUGGAACCCAUUAACUCCUUAAUACCCACCUCGACUGGCUUUCAGCAUGGCGUGGGUUGCCACGGCCUCUGCACCUGCCACCUGGAUAGUGGGCCAACUGGGUCCUGGCCCGCCAAGCAUGCGCCGUAUGUACGAACCUCCAGAGCCCUCCAGAGCCCUCCAGAGCCCUCCAGAGCCCUUAGCUAGAGCCCUCCAGGGCCCUUCAGAGCCCUUCAGAGGCUUGUGCAGAUCCCUCCAGAGGCUGAGCGGCUCUGAAACAGCCUGUGUUGGGAAUGCCAGACCACCCUCAAUGCAGCAGGAAGCCGCUUUGUAGCUCUGGCUGCCUGAGGAGGACCUGAGCCCCAAUGUCUACCGUAAAUUCAGGAAGGGCAUAAAUUGAAUUCUCAACACUGGGCACGCGCACACGCAAGCAUAGCGACAGGUCAGAAGCUCGGCUGCUUUGUGCGAGGGGCUGACGCAACGGGCUUGCAGCCGGAUUUGGAUCGGGUUGACUAUUACACGAAUCAGCUGGUCUCCGCCUCACAGUCGCUGACCCUUCCGGCCAGGAUCCGCAUUGUAGCUGCUUCGCCUGUGCCAACGCAUAGCGCCAUCCAGACACUUGAUGCAUUGCACGCCCGCCCCGGCGCGCUGUGGGCACCUGGUUCUGCUAAGCAGGGCUACGCACGCAUGACGCACGGUGAUUUGGGCAACGGCUGACGCCGUGACGCCGAUGAUGAGAGUGAUAUGGUAUUGGUGGCAAGAGGUGCUAUCAGCAGGGCCUCUGGAGGUGUGCGAGACGAGAAAACCAGACACCGAGAAUGUGAGACACGGUGUGCGACAGCAGUGGCACGGGGCGUGCGUGAGGCGGCUGCCCUGCCGCUGCCUGACGUGGACGGGCCCCAAGUGACAAGCAACACGAGGGCAGUGGGAGCGGCGCCGCUGCCGUUGUGGGAGGGGUCGCGCGCUGCACCCACGAGUGUGGCGCUGGCGGCUGUGCCGUCUUGCGCCGCCUGGCCACCUGCCAACACGCCCGGAUGGAGCCCGCGAUAGAUACGGUCAGAAGAGACUCAGCUGGCGGAGGAUGUUUUCGCCAAGGUGGCGGCCCACUCCAUCACGCUGGCGAAGGCGGUGUAGUGUGACAGCCGCGCCGUCCUGGCCAAGGUGGGCAGCAAGUGCCUGGGCCUCGCGCGCAGCACCAGCGACGGCGCCAGACGUGACGGCAUCAGCGGCAGUGGGCUCAGCGCCAAGAGCGGCCUGCUGGCCGCAGAGGCGCAGCCAGCUGCGGAGAGUGGCAGCGACGAGGAGGCCCCUCCCGAUACCGCCUUGGCGCGCUGCAACAACGGCGGUAUCAGGUCUGCCGCAUCGCGGCGGCCUGCUGCGAUAUCCAGGGCGCCGAGAUCCACCUGCGCCGACACGGGCGCAUCCAACUGUGUAAUCUCCCGGCGGGCCCUGUCGCUGCUUGGCCUGCUGGGCGACGUUCGCGACACCCGCACCACGUUCUACCACGCCAACGGCGCGGAGGAGCGCGCCAAGCGCAAAGUCAGGGUGGUGGUGUGCCUGCCCGGUCUGACUCGGACUGUGGAGAUGUUUUGUGUCAGACGCCGCGAACUACGACGUGCUGCUGGGUAACGACUUCCUGGGCCCUAUCCGCGCAGAUAUCAGCUACAGCCGCAGUGUGCUCGAGUACGACGGCAACGAGGGCGGCCGCCACACCGUCCCUGUGAUCAUCACCCGCGGCGAGCUGCUGGACCUGCUGACGCCGCUUGACGUUCACGUGGCGUCAGGCCGCUUCAGCAGCGGAAGGGCGCGGUCGAAUGUGCUGACUCCGGGCGGCAGCCCUGGGCCGCCGGGUUUGCUGAAUGCAGCCGCCGCAUCUGCCACAGUGGCGGAGUCAGCAACGACGACCACGGCGGCUUGCCGGCGGCAGCACUUUGCCGACAGCAGCUAGCUGCUCAUGCAGGAGGCAGCCGGACCUCCGACACUGCCAGUGGCGGCGGCAGCGGUCGGUGACAACGGUGGCAGCGGCGGCGGUGGCGGCGGCACGCUCCGGCACCUGACCGUGCGCAACGAGUCGCCGCCCCCGCCUGACAACACUUGUGUGGAGCAGUCAAAGAGGCGGCGCCACCUGGGCGAGCUGUGGGAGCGGCAAGCCACCCGGCGUGCCCCACAGCACCGUCUGCAUCAGCCGCCCAGCCGGGCGCGCCCGCAAGCCCCGGACUAGCCGCCGGCUACACGAGGGCAGACGGCGUUGGACGCGACAGCGCUGACUGAGUUCAAGUUUGGUCCGAUGGCUGCCAAAACAGCAGCGCUGAUUUUCUUCUUUAUGCACACAAUAGGCCUGCUGAUUCGCGGCACUUGCGGGACUGUGUGGGUAAGUGGGAUGGCAGGUUUGGGGCAGGUUUGGGGCGGCAGGUCGGUUUGGAGAUGAUGACACGGGAUGACACGGGAUGACACAGGGCGGUUUGGAGAUGAUACGGGGUGACACACGGGAUGACACAUGGGAUGACACACGCCCUGUUUGCAUGUUGAACUGCAGGGCCGCGACGCCAACUCGGCUACAAACAUGCGGCACGCGCUGAUGGAGAUGCUGCUUGGCAAACCGCGGCCUGCAGCCCUGCGACCUGCUGGCGGCGGUGGCGGUGCAGGGCCUGGCGGCGGCGGUGGCGGUGGCGGUGGCGGUGGCGGUGGCGGUGGCGGCGGUGCAGGGCCUGGAGACGGCGGUGGCGGCGGCGGUGGCACCGCGCCUACCGGCGGCAACAGCAGCGGCCACGGCGUUGGGCCCGGUGGUGGUGGCGGCACGGGCGGCCCUGGGCCCAGCGGCAGUGGCGGCGCACAUGUUCGGAGCAGAGGGGGCGGGCAAGGCCACGUGGAGGAGGACAGCGCGGCGCCGCCUUCAAAGCGGCGCCGGCGCGCAGGUUGAGACCUGCCGGUGUUGUCUGGUUAGCGACCUGUGCUGACGAGCAUGGCGUAGCAGGCAGUCGGCUGCAGCGGCAGGGGUGUUUUCCUUGCUGUCUGGUUGGCCUGCUGCCUGCUGCACUAGUGCUUGAUAGCUGGGCGCGACUGGGCACAUAUGGCGGGCGGUGCCUGUACAAACCGACCCCGGCUAUGUCCGGGAGAUGAGGCUAGUAUCGGAACCUUCGGCCUCAGACGGAGGACGUGGCGUGGCGGCACAGCCCACUUUUCCCUUGCAAGGGAGAGCCACCUCUUCUUGUCUUCUUUAUGCACACAAUAGGCCUGCUGAUUCGCGGCACUUGCGUUUGUGUGUUUGACGUGCAGAGGGACAUUGGGGCGGGGGCAGCCAAGGCAUCGAGCAUGUGCACUCGCGCACACUCCUUUUCCUGGCUUGUUCCAGCCCUCUGGUGGCUCCAGGACGUUAUUCUGGCUGUGGUAUGCUUUUGGAAAUUGCGGCGUUUGCAGGGGGGGGGUAGGAUCUUCCGAAACAGACCCCAUGCCUCAAAUGGAUAGAGCUCAACGAGAAAAUCACGAAUCCGCUUUCAAAAUCGAAAAUGGGUUUCUGGGUGCAAAGUUAUGGAUGCGAAUUACAAUUGAAGGGACAGUCCGACAAGCGGGGGCACACCGUACCCACGCCGCGAGGGACCGUCUCCGGCCCAGAGAGAAACACCCACCCCCUGGUUGACUGCCGACCUUCAUAGCGUUACGCGCAUGAGUCGAAGCCAAGCCGAAGCCCGCCAAAGCCCCACCGCAAAGUUAUGACCCCUCAAAGUGGCCGGUCGGUCGGUCGGUCGGGGGUCCCAAGAGGUUUUGCACAGGUUCGUGCCAAGUUUUGUUCCUAGCGCUUCUGUCCUGCAGCACGCGGCGCAAUGGGUGCAGCUCAACGAUGCGUGCGUAGGUAUACCCCAGACUCAGCACACGUGCAUAGUUUGGGGCAGUUUGGGGAGCGGCAUGUCGGCAUUUUGGGAGAUGCCUGGGGAACUGGUCAGGGACAGGCCGGUGCCGGCCGGGUUUUGCAUGCAUGAACGUGUCAGCACAUUUCGUAUCAUCAAGUAACAUUGAAGUAAGCCGUUGCAUAGCAGGCCAGUCUAUCAGGAUACUUGUCGGCAGCCGGGCCACAUGUCCACAUGUCCACAUGUCGGUCGGUCAAAGUGUGUUCCCAAGGCGGAUCAUCAAACAUAGCGAUAGAGCUCACCGAGAGCAGUCAAUUGGCACCAACCUGACAAAAAACUAAGGGGUUCUGAGGGGGUUUUGGGGGGUCGUACGGCAGGGGGGGUCGGUCGGUCGGUCGGUCGGGGGGUCCGGGAGGUUUUGUGGCAUGGGGUCAAAAAAGUUUGUUCCUACCCCCCCCCCUGGCGUUUGCAUGGAGUAGCUCAGGCGCUGCAUGGGGGUCGUCACAUGGGGCAGCGGUGGGCGGCAGCUGAGCCGCAGCCAAGCCAGGCCAAGAGCCCAUGCAGGAGCCGCGCGGGCGCCCUGGCUAGGCAUAGUCGUCACUGGGGGCCAGAAAGACUAGUGAGAACCCGGCACUCUGUGUAAACUUACCACGAGUAAUUGACAAGCAACAAAUCUUGCUCAUACCGGAUGAACAGAUUCCCAGCCCAGAGGGCUCUUCUGCUGAUAGCGACUCUGUCAGCAAGUCUGCUAAGCUUCCAGCGCUCAGCGCAACAGUGAUUGAGAUAUGGGCCUUCGGCCACAGUUUCCCCCCUCCCCGCGGGCAACACUCCGUGCCCCGGGCGUCGGCACGUCUGGUCGCAUCGGACCUCGUCUUCGUGACCCGUCAACCCUAGCGACGCGGCCCUGCGGUAUCAUACGUACCCAAGCUACGUAUAUCGGCAGCUACAAGCGCCUGGACGCGCACCGACGAGCCUCGCGAGUCUUCGGUCAAGGACGUCGAGACCGGCCAAGGCUUCCCGACCCCUCCGUCAAGGCUUCGGCUAUCAAGACCUGACUACACGACACUCGUGUGCAAGUCAAGGCUAUUCUGAGACUCCCAUCACGUCAGCGACGCGAAGACCGACAACUUGACAUCGAUUCAAGACCGGCUUCACUGGGUCAACGCUUCGAGUAGUUCGAAAGUUUCAACAAGACCUUCGGACUACAUACGAGCCCAGCCCAAGAACAACUGACAGAGUCUUGAGAUUCCGAUUCAUUCUGGGCUGUCAAGCCAGUCCAAAAGGCUUGCAGCAGCCAAGCUGUACAUAUCUUAGGGGGAAGGGAGCUGAGUGAGACAGCACCCACGGCGCCAGUUGCUUGGAUUCUUGCAUCGGCUUGACACGUUUCGUGCCAUUGCUCACAGGUCUCCCUUGCUUCGGCGCAUUCCCGCCGGCUUGGAGCGACCCGGCCCUCACGGCCUCUCGCCCAGCCAACUAUAUUUAUCCUGACCGCCAACGACGAUUUAGUAAAGCUAUUCAAGACCGCAGGCAGCUGCUGCUGGGAGAAGCUCCGCUGCAGUCAGCCCGACACAUUCGCGCUGCAGAAGGCGUCCUCCCCAGCGAUAAGGGGGCCGCCCGCGCGGAGUCGCGACAGCAUCACCACGUCAUCCGGCGGGUCCUUCAACUUUGGCCUUGGCAACUUUUACCUGCGCAAGGUGAUCCUCAACGUCUCCAACUGUCGCAACCUGGGUGCUCGGGCGAAACCUGAGCGACACGCCCAACACCAGCAUUCAAGGCUGCGCGGCCGCUACUAUGGCAGUGUGAGCUAUCCCAAGCGCGUGCAGUGAGUUGCCCUGCAGAAUGGGUACACCACCAACCAGUACGUGCUUGAGUGCCGAGCCUGCUUUAUGACUCCUGACAACCAGUGGACCCCUCUCAGAUGAGUCCUACUUCGAUACCUUUCCCUUCCGCCCGCGGAUUGGCGAUAGCGGACUGACCAAGACGCUGGGAUUCGCAGAUCCACACCCCAUCGACCGCCCGCUCUACCCGCACUUCAAGACGCGCGCGGGGACGUGUCAUCGAGUGCCGAGAAGCGAAACAACGUGGCAGCGCGACCGACCAGUACAGCGUGCCGAUGGGGUCUGAACUUCACUCAAAGCGAACAAGAGUAAAUUCUAAAUUACUUAGCGAUGGCUUUAUUGAUGGUAUCGCGACUACUGAUGUCACUAUGAACUGAGAGGUUUCGGCCGAGUUUCCUUUGAGUUUCCGCCGAGUUUCCUCUGAGUUUCUGUGCCUCGCUCCUUUCGCCCCUCAGCACUGCGCCGCCCCCCUUUCAAGGCAGCCCUAGCAGCCCCGAUUGCAUUCCCGUGUGCACCACAGCUCCCAUUGCCAUCCUGGUCGCGGCGGGGGUCGGCUGGCGCCGCGCCUGCCGCGCCCGUCACCCUCACUCCUCAGUCGCGUGUGCCCCGCAGCCCAAAUGCAGCUGAUGGAAAGGCGCAGCCCCAUGCAUCCCAUCUGAGUUUACACGCAGCUCACACGCAGCUUCCCAACCAGCACCGCGCCAAACUGUGAGCGCCCACUCGCGCGCCACGCCAACAGCCAGCUACCAUCCCUGAGCUCCACCGUACGCUUGUGCGCUCCUGUCGCUUCGCAGCCGGCUUCCCGCGCACUUCCAGCUCCCAGCCGUACAGCUACCCGACUCAUGCCAACGACCCGUGUGCGUGCCCCCAGGCUCGGCAGCUUCCCAGCCGGCCCAUCGUACAACUACCAGCUCCCGGCAAACGCACGGCUGAGGGGGUUGGGUGCCGUACACGAGUUAGUUGGGGGGUAGUCGGAGCUGUCCUAGAACAUACAUUAUACUAUUUUUUGGGCUGAGCCCCCCCAGCGAAGCGUUCCAGGGGGGGGCGAAGCCCCCCAGGAACACCCCUGUCCGUGGCUGCGUGGCUGCGUGGCUGGUGCGUCGGCAAAACAUAGCAUACUGGCGCAAACCGCGACUGCUACGUAUUAGUAUUUGUUAAUGCCUAUUGCAUGUAAAUAGGUGGCAGGGAAAAUUCGGGCGGAGCGAGAAGUGCCUUCGCGGUCCAUGGACAAUUGACUUUCGCGAGGUCGCGAGGAAAGCAUCCGGUGCCCGCUGAUAUGCAGUCUCUAAGGCAAAUAUGUUGGCGGCAAGCAAAGCGGGGAAGUAUAUCGAAAGUUUUGAGCGACUUGCUGAGCCAUGCCUGCUAACGCGCCAGAAUGCCGAGAAGCCCCGAGGUCGCCCCCGCCCCGCGCCCAGCCCUUUGAGCGUGGGGCGCCGGGGAGGUGUUGAGUAUGGCAGGAGGCGAAAGAAAUGCUUGGGGUGUUUGGGAGCGUGACAAGGCACGCAUGCGUGGCGCGGGAAAUCCCGCACGGCCCCAACCCGAGUGUCCCUAGCCGAUGCGCCUGCGCGUCGUAGCGGCAUGGAGGCUCUGACGGGGCGUUGCACGCCUAUUAGCUCCCAAGCGUACGGGGGCUCAGCCCAUUUUCCAGCUGUACAAAGCUGACACCCCUUGUUCGUGUACGGCACCCCCACCCCCCUCAGCCGUACAGGUCCUGGUACCUUCCUCCAAGUUUUGACUGGGUUUCCCUUGAGUUUCGGUGCCCCGCUCCUUUCGCCCCACAGCGCGGCGCCGCCCCCGCCGCGCCAGUUUCAGUGCAGCCGCCCCCCGCCGCGCCGGUCAGCCGCAGCCGCGUGUGAGCUCUGAUGCAGCUCGAUCGUAGGUAGGAAGACUGACACGCCGCACCGGUGCACGCAGUGCACCGCACGCGGCCAUGUCCUCACCUGGCUGGAUCACAUCCCAUCACAUCCCAUCACAUCCCACACGCCACUUCUCAGCGCGGCGGGGACGGCUGGCGCCGCCCCGCCGCGCCAGUUACAGUGCAGUCCGUGUGAAUCCCGUGUGCAGCCCAGAUGCAGCUGAUGGGAAGGCGCAGCCCCAUGCAUCCCAUCUGAGUUUACUCUCCGCAGCUGUAACACACGAAGCAGUUUACAAGCAGCUCACACGCAGCUUCCCAGCCGGCACCACACGCAACUGCCAGCUCCCACUCGUGCGCCACGCCAACAGCCAGCUACCAUCCCUGAGCUCCACCGUACGCUUGUGCGCUCCUGUCGCUUCGCAGCCGGUCUCCCGCGCAACUUCCAGCUCCCAGCCGUACAGCUACCCGACUCAUGCCAACGACCCGUGUGCGUGCCCCCAGGCUCGGCAGCUUCCCAGCCGGCCCACCGUACAACUACCAGCUCCCAGCCGCGGCAGCUACCGACACCCAACCCAGCUCCUGUACGGCUAAGGGGGGUGGGGGUGCCGUACACGAGUUAGUUGGGCGUUAGUUGGGCGUUAGUUGGAGCUGUCCCAGGAUGAAGGUUUAUCUUUUUUUUGGGCUGAGCCCCCUGAGCGAAGCGAUCCAGGGGGAGGCGAAGCCCCCCAGGAUCGCCCCUGCGUUCCCCCUGGCGCACCUGCACUCGCAGCGAGAGCCACUCCCUUGAAUGCCGCCACGGCUGCAGCACGCCACCAAACAUGGCGCGUGCUGCUGCGAAGCGGCUGCAUGUAUGGUGGGGAGCCCGCGCCGAUCCCUGCGGACCAGGCCUCCUCGCGAGCGGCACGUUCAAUGGUGAACCGGUUAAUGGGGGUGUCAAUCUGCGCGACCUCGUCGAGAGGCCGAAGUCGCGCAGAUUGUUCGGGGGGCUGCAGGAAGCGGCCCCCCACGCCGCAGCGCUACAGAAAUACAGUUGCAGACGCCGGCGCGCCAGACUCAGCUCACACGCACAUGGAUGCGGAUUACAAUUGAAGGCCAAGCGGGGGCACGCCGUACGCACAUGCAUGCAAGCGCAAUCUGCGAUUGAUUGCCUUGUGCACUCACGCACGCAGGCCCUGGGCGUUUGCCGCAUCUCAGCCAGAGCUGAGGCGACGCCCGGGUGCAAAGGCAGUUGCCUCCAGAGUCCGGUCCAGCCAAGUAACACGCACCAAACAACUAUCUGCGUUGCAGCAAACGGCAUUGAAAUGGCAGCGGGCGUGAGUGGCAGCCGCAACAGCGGCGUUCUCGGCAGUCGAGGUAAGACGCGGCCCUAGGAGCGGCUGAGCUGCAUGCGUGGGGCUUGCAACGACGCGUGAAGCAAAGCUGAGUCUCGGUGGAAACCGCUACGAGGCUAAAUCAUGUAAACUUGAAGGAGUCGCGGGUCGGCCCGGAAGUCGGCUAGGGCCGGCUACCUGUCAAUGCGAGGUCGUCUCCACGCCCGGCCCAGGGCCCAUCCGUUUCCUGCUUCGGAAGCGGUGGCCGCGCACGCAAGUUUUCCCCAACUGGCAUGCUUGUCGCGUGUGCUGUAGUGUCUAUGGCUUGCCGCUUGGGCCGUGCAAGCUGGUCUGCAUGCUACGUCCGGCGCACCCACCUACCGCAGGCUAGUGCUUGGCCCUGAUGCGCCACGACACGCAGGCUACACAGUGCCUAGGGCGCACCUGUCCUGCGAACUUCGACUUGCAGGGCUUUGCCACGCCACAUACUGCAUGCUUAAGCAGUUACAAUGUUUCUUCUCUGGGUUUGCGUGCCGCAAGUAUCACUCCCACUCACUGGCUUCCCUCAACAAGGCCAACUCCAAUCCGGGGUGUGAUGCUCACAGGAAACACGCUAAUCAAAAAGCUUCGUGCCACAUUCCAAACAUUCGAGCACGCACACGCUAGAUACGAUAACCAACAGUAGGACGAACCAACAACCGACCGGGCAUAGCAGUCCUGCAACUGCAUGGACCAUGCCUGCCCGUCCUUGGCGAAGGCAAACACCUCGCCUCGGACUGCAGCUCUUCACAUGUACAGUAAUGCAGCUCAAGGCCCGUCAUGCUGUGCAAAAAAGCCCGCCCGUUGUAAAUCUUACAUCUGUCCAGCUACAGCAAAACGAUAAGCCAACCAUGCCCAAUCUUACGGCGAAUGGUUUCACAGCACGUCAACGGACGAGCGACCGACGUUCUCAGAUGUCAACUGAGGCACAGGCCAACGCUGCAGCGCCCACAGCUCACACCGCCAGCGCCUUGCGGGCCGCGCGCCUAGCGCUGCGGCAGCGGCGGCGAAAGCUGCUUACCACAGGCCAAUGACCUUCCACCAGGCGCCGCCAAUGCCCAGCCACACGGCCAGGUAGAAGAUGGACAGGAUGAAGCCAAACUUCAGCCAGUCGCCCUGUGUGUGUGUGUGUGUGUGUUUGUGUGUGUGUGUGUGUGUGUGUGUGUGUGUGUGUGUGUGUGUGUGUGUGUGUGUGUGUGUGUGUGUGCAACACCCGUUGGGGGACAGGGCUGGACAGUAGCAGCGGCACGUGCACGCAGCCAAUGACUCUGUAUAAGGAGGCGUGGAGGCGUGGAACAGGCAAGGGGCCAAACCAUAUGCCUGCUAUCUUCCGCGCGCUGCGUACCCAUACCCUAUUUCAAGCACGACCCCGUUCUUGCCCCACCCACAGCCAACCACCAGCUCCCUUCCUUCACUAUCUAAGCCUGCCCCCACCAACCGCCUCACGCCCGGCCCUGGCCACCCGUACCUGAGGCACGUAGCCGGCGCCAAAGUACGGCGGCGCGGAGCCGAUGCCGUAGGUGGUGAGGCAGCCCAUCAGGUUGGACAGCUGGCCCAGAGCAAUGGCCGCCAGCAUGGGCGGCGUGCCACAGGCGGUGGCAACCGCCAGGAAGGCGGUGUACAUGGCGCCGAUGUGCGCGGCACCCGAGGCGAAGAAGUAGUGCGAGUAGAAGUACAGCAGCACCACAAUGCCGAAGGCGCCCUGGGAGGUGGUGGGAAGGGAUAGCGCGGGAGACGGGAUUGAAGGCAGGAGGGUGUAUACUAGGGCCGAGGGCAGGCGCGGCGAGGGCAGGCGCGGCGUGUGCGUGCGCUGCACUGCAAGCCCUGCAAGGUCCACUCCACAGACUCCACAGGCCCUCGAGGCCCCGGC